GGCACAGUGGCUUAGUGGUUAGAACUAUCACCUUGUACCUCCUGGGUUGGAGGUUUGAAACCUGCCUGUGUGU